rnacentral:rRNA from 1 species
UAGCGGCGAAUGGGUGAGUAACACGUGCUUAAUCUACCCUUUAGAUUGGAAUACCCAAUGGAAACAUUGGCUAAUGCCGGAUACGCAUGGAAUUGCAUGAUUCCGUUGUGAAAGGAGCCUUUAAAGCUCCGCUAGAGGAUGAGGGUGCGGAACAUUAGUUAGUUGGUAGGGUAAUGGCCUACCAAGACUAUGAUGUUUAGCCGGGUCGAGAGACUGAACGGCCACAUUGGGACUGAGAUACGGCCCAAACUCCUACGGGAGGCAGCAGUAGGGAAUAUUCCACAAUGAGCGAAAGCUUGAUGGAGCGACACAGCGUGCACGAUGAAGGUCUUCGGAUUGUAAAGUGCUGUUAUAGGGAAAGAACACCUGGUUGAGGAAAUGCUUCCAGGCUGACGGUACCCUGUCAGAAAGCGAUGGCUAACUAUGUGCCAGCAGCCGCGGUAAUACAUAGGUCGCAAGCGUUAUCCGGAAUUAUUGGGCGUAAAGCGUUCGUAGGCUGUUUAUUAAGUCUGGAGUCAAAUCCCAGGGCUCAACCCUGGCUCGCUUUGGAUACUGGUAAACUAGAGUUAGAUAGAGGUAAGCGGAAUUCCAUGUGAAGCGGUGAAAUGCGUAGAUAUAUGGAAGAACACCAAAGGCGAAGGCAGCUUACUGGGUCUAUACUGACGCUGAGGGACGAAAGCGUGGGGAGCAAACAGGAUUAGAUACCCUGGUAGUCCACGCCGUAAACGAUGAUCAUUAGUCGGUGGAGAGUUCACUGACGCAGCUAACGCAUUAAAUGAUCCGCCUGAGUAGUAUGCUCGCAAGAGUGAAACUUAAAGGAAUUGACGGGGACCCGCACAAGCGGUGGAGCAUGUGGUUUAAUUUGAAGAUACGCGGAGAACCUUACCCACUCUUGACAUCCUUCGCAAUGCUAUAGAGAUAUAGCGGAGGUUAACGGAGUGACAGAUGGUGCAUGGUUGUCGUCAGCUCGUGUCGUGAGAUGUUUGGUCAAGUCCUGCAACGAGCGCAACCCCUAUCUUUAGUUACUAACGAGUCAUGUCGAGGACUCUAGAGAUACUGCCUGGGUAACUGGGAGGAAGGUGGGGAUGACGUCAAAUCAUCAUGCCUCUUACGAGUGGGGCAACACACGUGCUACAAUGGUCGGUACAAAGAGAAGCAAUAUGGCGACAUGGAGCAAAUCUCAAAAAGCCGAUCUCAGUUCGGAUUGGAGUCUGCAAUUCGACUCCAUGAAGUCGGAAUCGCUAGUAAUCGCAGAUCAGCUACGCUGCGGUGAAUACGUUCUCGGGUCUUGUACACACCGCCCGUCACCCCAUGGGAGCUGGUAAUACCCAAAGUCGGUUAGCUAACC